rnacentral:rRNA from 1 species
AACGAACGCUGGCGGCAGGCCUAACACAUGCAAGUCGAACGCAUCGCAAGAUGAGUGGCGCACGGGUGAGUAACACGUGGGAAUGUAUCCUUUGGUUCGGAAUAACGUCUGGAAACGGACGCUAAUACCGGAUGAGCCCUAUGGGGGACAGAUUUAUCGCCGAAGGAGCAGCCCGCGUCUGAUUAGGUAGUUGGUGGGGGAAAGGCCUACCAAGCCGACGAUCAGUAGCGGGUCUGAGAGGAGGAUCAGCCACACUGGGACUGAGAAACGGCCCAGACUCCGACGGGAGGCAGCAGUGGGGAAUAUUGGACAAUGGGCGCAAGCCUGAUCCAGCCAUGCCGCGUGAGUGAUGAAGGCCUUCGGGUUGUAAAGCUCUUUCGCACACGACGAUGAUGACGGUAGUGUGAGAAGAAGCCCCGGCUAACUUCGUGCCAGCCGCCGCCGUAACAC